CGCUGGCGGCGUGCCUAAUACAUGCAAGUCGAACGGACUUUUCUAUGGAAGCUUGCUUCCACUGAGAAGAUAGUGGCGAACGGGUGAGUAACACGUGGGUAACCUGCCCAUAAGAGGGGGAUAACAUCCGGAAACGGGUGCUAAUACCGCAUAGUUUUCUUGAUCGCAUGAUCGGGAAAGGAAAGACGGCCUUUGUGCUGUCGCUUAUGGAUGGACCCGCGGCGUAUUAGUUAGUUGGUGAGGUAACGGCUCACCAAGACGAUGAUACGUAGCCGACCUGAGAGGGUGAUCGGCCACAUUGGGACUGAGACACGGCCCAAACUCCUACGGGAGGCAGCAGUAGGGAAUCUUCCGCAAUGGACGAAAGUCUGACGGAGCAACGCCGCGUGAGUGAAAGAAGGUUUUCGGAUCGUAAAACUCUGUUGUCAGAGAAGAACAAGUUGGAGAGUAACUGCUCCAGCCUUGACGGUAUCUGACCAGAAAGCCACGGCUAACUACGUGCCAGCCGCCGC
rnacentral:rRNA from 1 species